GACGAACGCUGGCGGCGUGGAUUAGGCAUGCAAGUCGAACGGUAUAUAUCCUUUCGGGGGUAUAGAGAGUGGCGAACGGGUGAGUAACGCGUAGGUGAUCUACCUUCAGGUGGGGGACAACCCAGGGAAACUUGGGCUAAUACCGCAUGUGGCUGUAAAGCUAAAGCUGGCCUCUGUAUACAAGCUGGUGCCUGGAGCUGAGCCUGCGUCUGAUUAGCUAGUUGGUGGGGUAACGGCCUACCGAGGCGAUGAUAAGUAGGCGGCUUUAACGAGUGGUCGCCCACACUGGGAUUGAGAAACGGCCCAGACUCCUACGGGUGGCAG
rnacentral:rRNA from 1 species